rnacentral:rRNA from 1 species
GAUGAACGCUAGCGACAGGCUUAACACAUGCAAGUCGAGGGGCAGCGAGGGCGUAGCAAUACGCCUGUCGGCGACCGGCGCACUGGUGAGUAACACGUAUGCGACCUGCCCCCUACAGGGGUAUAACCCGUAGAAAUGCGGACUAAUCCCCCACUAGUCCUGAGUGCUGCAUGGCAUUCAGGGGAAAGGUCAGCCGGUAGGGGAUGGGCAUGCGGCGCAUUAGCUAGUUGGCGGGGCAACAGCCCACCAAGCCGACGAUCGGUAGCCGGACUGAGAGGUUGAUCGGCCACAUUGGGACUGAGACACGGCCCAG